AUGGAUGUCAAGAUCAACUUGGCGGCCAGGAAUCUGAUCAGCACUAUAACCACACCUACUCAAGGUGCUCCUGCUAUCGCAGAUACGGCAAAGUAUGCUUCUUUGCACUUCAUUCGACACCACCUUGAUCCUGCUCUGAAAGAAGAGUACAUGAUGGAGGAAAGUCCUCUAUCAUUGUGGAACUCCUUAAAGGAGCGUUAUGAUCAACAAAGGUCGGUGAUGUUGCCUGAAGCGCAAAGAGAAUGGGCACUUAUUCGUUUCCAGGAUUUUAAGUCCGUUGCAGCAUACAAUUCUGUCGUGCAUCAAAUCAACUCAAAGUUGAGAUUCUGCAACAGUGCAGUUUCUGAUGCGGAUCUCAUUGAAAAGACACUUUCUACUUUCCAUCCUAAUAUGAGGAUUCUUGCUGAACAACAUCGUCAGCAGAAAUACAAGAAGCAUUCUGAGUGGAUAGGACAAGUGAUGAAGGUCCAGGAGGUAAGCUACACAGCAUUUGCAAAAUAA
rnacentral:rRNA from 1 species